CACCUAUAAAUAGUUCAUAAUUAAUCUUAAAUCGGCAAAUUUGCCAUAUUGCCCCAACUUGUUGAAACGUCCGUAGAAAUUCAUAAAAACAACCAUAAAAGGGUCCCGAGAUGAUUACCUUAGUUAACCAAGUGUAAACCUUGAAGAAACACCAAUAACUACAAAUUUAUAUCUUCAAAAACCAGCUCCAAACGUAGCUAAU
rnacentral:lncRNA from 1 species